GCUGGCGGCAGGCCUAUCACAUGCAAGUCGAGCGGAAACGAAGAGGUGCUUGCACCUCUGGCGUCGAGCGGCGGACGGGUGAGUAAUGCUUGGGAAUAUGCCUUAUGGUGGGGGACAACAGUUGGAAACGACUGCUAAUACCGCAUGAUGUCUACGGACCAAAGUGGGGGACCUUCGGGCCUCACGCCAUAAGAUUAGCCCAAGUGGGAUUAGCUAGUUGGUGAGGUAAUGGCUCACCAAGGCGACGAUCCCUAGCUGGUUUGAGAGGAUGAUCAGCCACACUGGGACUGAGACACGGCCCAGACUCCUACGGGAGGCAGCAGUGGGGAAUAUUGCACAAUGGGCGCAAGCCUGAUGCAGCCAUGCCGCGUGUGUGAAGAAGGCCUUCGGGUUGUAAAGCACUUUCAGUAAGGAGGAAAGGUUAAGUGUUAAUAGCACUUAGCUGUGACGUUACUUACAGAAGAAGCACCGGCUAACUCCGUGCCAGCAGCCGCGGUAAUACGGAGGGUGCGAGCGUUAAUCGGAAUUACUGGGCGUAAAGCGUACGCAGGCGGUUUGUUAAGCGAGAUGUGAAAGCCCCGGGCUCAACCUGGGAACUGCAUUUCGAACUGGCAAACUAGAGUGUGAUAGAGGGUGGUAGAA
rnacentral:rRNA from 1 species